rnacentral:rRNA from 1 species
GACGAACGCUGGCGGCGUGCUUAACACAUGCAAGUCGAACGGAAAGGCCCUGCUUUUGUGGGGUGCUCGAGUGGCGAACGGGUGAGUAACACGUGAGUAACCCGCCCCUGACUUUGGGAUAACUUCAGGAAACUGGGGCUAAUACCGGAUAGGAGCUCUUGCUGCACGGUGGGGGAUGGAAAGUUUCGGCGGUUGGGGCCGGACUCGCUGCCAAUCGGCUUGUUGGUGGGGUAGUGGCUUACCAAGGCUCUGACGGAUAGCCGGCCUGGGAGGGGGACCGGCCACAUGGGGCCUGAGAUAGGGCCCAGACUGCAACGGGCGGCAGCGGUGGGAAAUAUGACACAGUGGGGGGAAGCGUGUUGCGGCACCGCCGCGUGCGGGAUAACGGCCUUGGGGUUGUAAACCGCUUUAGCCUGUGACGAAGCGUGAGUGACGGUAAUGGGUAAAGAAGCACCGGCUAACUACGUG